AGAGCUUUUCAACCUUUUGGGGAAGCUCAAGUGUAGUGUGUUCUUACCAGUUUCUUAUCUGAUAGGUGGCUGCAAGGAUUCACUGUUCAAUAGCUUUGUGGAGACAGGAGGUGCUUUGAGAGCUUGCUGCAGCCACUUCACAUGUGGUCCUGUUAUGGCAAUAGCUUCUGGUUCUCUGUUAGCCCU
rnacentral:snRNA from 1 species